rnacentral:misc_RNA from 1 species
GAUGAAGAACGUAGCGAAAUGCGAUAAGUAAUGUGAAUUGCAGAAUUCAGUGAAUCAUCGAAUCUUUGAACGCACAUUGCGCCCCCCAGUAUUCUGGCGGGCAUGCCUGUUCGAGCGCCAUUUCAACCAUCAAGCCCUGCUUGUGUUGGGGUCCUGCGGCUGCCCGCAGGCCCUGAAAACCAGUGGCGGGCUCGCUAGUCACACCGAGCGCAGUAGCACAUCUCGCUCAGGGCGUGCGGCGGGCUCCAGCCGUUAAAGCACCCACCUUUCGCAAGGUUGACCUCGGAUCAGGUAGGAAUACCCGCUGAACUUAAGCAUAUCAAUAAGCGGAGGA